rnacentral:rRNA from 1 species
GACGAACGCUGGCGGCGUGCUUAACACAUGCAAGUCGAACGGAAAGGCCCUGCUUUUGUGGGUUGCUCGAUUGGCGAACGGGUGUGUAACACGUGAGUAACCUGCCCUUUACUUUGUGAUAUCUUCAGGAAACUGGGGCUAAUACCGGAUAUGAUCUCCUGCUGCAUGGUGGUGGUUGGAAAGUUUCGGCGGUUGGGGAUGGACUCGCUGCUUAUCAGCUUGUUGGUGGGGUAGUGGCUUACCAAGGCUUUGACGGGUAGCCGGCCUGAGAGGGUGACCGGGGAAAAUGGGAAUGAGAUAGGGCCAAGAAGGCAACGGGAGGCAGGAGUGGGGAAUAUUGAAAAAUGGGGGGAAGCCUGAUGCAGAAAGGCGGGGUGCGGGAAGAAGGGCUUCGGGUGGUAAAAAGAAUUAGAAUGAGAAGAAGAGAGAGUGACGGUAAUGGGUAAAGAAGCACCGGCUAACUACGUG